GGAUUAGAUACCCUGGUAGUCCACGCUGUAAACGAUGAUCACUCGUUGUUGGCGAUAUACUGUCAGCGACCAAGCGAAAGCAUUAAGUGAUCCACCUGGGGAGUACGAUCGCAAGGUUGAAACUCAAAGGAAUUGACGGGGGCCCGCACAAGCGGUGGAGCAUGUGGUUUAAUUCGAUGAUACGCGAGGAACCUUACCAAGGCUUAAAUGUAGAUUGACAGUUUGGGAAACCAGACCUUCUUUCGAGACAAUUUACAAGGUGCUGCAUGGUUGUCGUCAGCUCGUGCCG
rnacentral:rRNA from 1 species